UUCUGGUUGAUCCUGCCGGCGGGCACCGCUAUUGGAGUUCGCUUAAGCCAUGCGAGUCGAGAGGGGUAAGCCCUCGGCGCACUGCUCAGUAACACGCCGAUAAUCUGCCCUCGAGUGGGGGAUAACCCCGGGAAACUGGGAAUAAUACCCCAUAGCCGUUCCAUGAUGGAAGGCUGGGACGGCGAAAGCUGAGGCGCUCGAGGAUGGAUCUGUGGCCUAUCAGGUCGUAGGGGGUGUCACGGACCCCCUAGCCGAAGACGGGUACGGGCUUUGAGAGAAGUCGCCCGGAGAUGGGUUCUGAGACAUGAACCCAGGUCCUACGGGACGCAGCAGGCGCGAAACCUCCACAAUGUGGGAAACCACGAUGGGGGAACUCCAAGUGGAUGCACUUUGUGUAUUCUGUUCUCGAGCCUAAAAAGCUCGAGAAGUAAGGGCCGGGUAAGACGGGUGCCAGCCGCCGCGGUAAUACCCGCGGCCCGAGUGGUGCUCAUUAUUAUUGAGUCUAAAGCGUCCGUAGCCGGCCGGGUAAAUCUCUGGGUAAAUCGGGCGGCUCAACCGUCCGAAUUCCAGAGACACUGCCCGGCUUGGGAUCGGGAGAGGAUGAUGGUACUCCU
rnacentral:rRNA from 1 species